AUGCUCCUGUGGAGUCUGCAGUGGACGAAGCAUUCAGACAAACCCAGCCCGGACGGUCGGACGGAGCGCAGGGUCCGACCCUCCCAUUGCACGAAGGAAAAAGCGGAGAACCGGACGAGGGGACCGACGGGUUCUUCCAGGGGUCACUGGCAGCCCUACGGAGGGAACUCGGGGCUUAAUGAAAGCGCUCACUUCACAGUGGGAGAAGCUGCUGCAGCAUCCUUGGAAAUAGGACAGCAAAUGACAGAAGCUCCCACACACACACCAUCUUUGGGCUGUGACUACACACGUCUGGGAGACCCGAAACUCCAAGCCCCCACGGGAGAAGGCACUGUGGGGUCACGGGUGCCCCUGCCUUUGCUUCUGUCUUCCCUGAGGCUCCAUCUUUGUCUCCCAUGAGCCCGAGAGCAGCAGCUGGCCCGUCUGUGGACAGACUCUGCAUCCCAGCAGGCUUUGCCCUGCUGGACCAGGUCUAACCCCCAGGAAAUGCGUAAUGAGAAAAGUAAGGCUGAAAGGUGGCCGGUGGGUUUUUGUUAACUUCAGACAGGCCCAGUUAAAGGGCUUGGGGGGGGGGGGAAGGGGGGGAGGGGGGGAGGAGGUCAGAAGACUUGAGUUCCAAUCCCUUCUCUGCCUUCUCCUGGCUGGAGGAUGCCGGAAAAAUCACUUCCCUUUUCCUCCCUUCAGGCAACUCUCCAAGAGAAGGUCCUCCUAGCCACUUGCUGCAGAGCAUCACAGGGCUGGGUUCUCACCCUUGCUGAUAAAAUCCUGAGACUGGGUUUAGGGGUGGCAAUGACAAUGACAAGGACAAGGACAACAGCGAGGGCAGCAACAACAACAUGCCCCUCCCUCUGGCCUGGGCAGAACAAAUCUGGAGGAUUGUCUUCAGUUCUGACAUGUUAUGGUAGGCAUUGAUAAGCUGAAGUACAUCUGGCAUGGUGAAGUGCCUCUAGUUCAUGUCAGAAUUACAAUCAUUAUAAUCACAGCAGCUAUAAUUUAUACAGCACUUCCUAUGUGCCAGGCACUGUACUAAACACGUUUCACCAUGUAUUGUUUCAUUUGAUCCCCAUAACAACCCUGGGAGGCAGGUGUUAUGAUUAUCCCAAUUUUACAGAUGAGAAAACGGAGGCAAACAGAGGUGAAGUGACUUGCCCAGGGUCACACAGCUAGUAAGAAUCUGAGGUCAAAUAUUUGUUCAGGUCUUCCUGACUGCAGUCUAGUUGCUUAUCCAUUAGGUACCACCUUGCUGCCCCGUGUCACAUGGAGAUUUGUGAAAGGACCUGGAGAUGUGGUACCUUGGACAACAAAAGAGGCAGAGAAGACAAAGCAGCCGUUACCCUGUUUGAGAUGAACCAUAUUAGACCCUACCAGGCAGAAGUAGGAACAACCCAGACUGAAGGUACAAAAAGGCAAUUGUAGGCUUUACAUCAGGGAAAGCUUCCUGUCAAAUAGAAUUUUCUGAGAGUAGAACCGGAUGCCUAUAGUGGGUUUCCCCAUGGUGGAGGAAAUGGCCUGAAUGAAGCAUUGACUACUGCAUAAGUUCAUGAAGUAUAUUACCUUAGACUGUGCACUCAUUGAUUUUCCCCCCUUUUUAUCAGUAGAAUGUUAGAGUCAAAACACUCUUACAUAGCCCAGUCAAGGUGACUAUCUCUCUUAUUAUUUCUUUUUUGAUAAUUUUCCUUACAUAUUUUCAACUUGAGUCCUAAAGUAGUUAAAGGGUACAUUUUUACAUUUUCAUGUUAAAAAUUAGCUCAGAGCCCCCAUUCUAGUUCAUUAGCUAUCACCUAUUCAAUAAACUGGAGAAACUAUUUUUCCCA
ensembl:lncRNA